GUCAGACAAAUCAGAUGUUUACUCAUACAAUUACAACACUUACAUUUGUUUACAACUUUGAAUUGAAUUGGAGAAAGCUUUCGUUAGAAAGAGAAAAAAUAUUGCCACUGUAAGCAUAUUGAUAUAAUAAUAUGCUAAAAGAAGACAGAUAUGACAUUAAAAAAAGAAAAACUGAAAUUGAAGCCGCAAUUUGGCCAUUUUAUAAAAAAAUUGGCGUAAGGUUAUUUUUGGUUAAAUUUUAUUAUUAAUAUUAAUUGAUUUUAAUUUUUAUGCAGGAGAUAUGUAAAAGUAUUCAAUUAAAAAGGCAAAAUCAACGCACAAAGACCGGGACUUGAUACAAAAGAAAAUGUGUUAGAUGCCUGGAUGCUGGGAUGGAAUUUCUUGAUAUGUUGUUAGCAGGUUUGCGUAAGGUGUAUCCAGUCCACACCCAACAUUGUUAAAAUAUAUACAUAUAUUUAGAAUAAGAAUAAAAUAAGAUUAUAUAUCAUUUGAAUUUGUUAAAUUAGAACAUAAAUUGCAUAAAUAUAAUAAUUUAUAUAUAAAUGUAAUUUUUAUAUUAAUAACUUGUAAAUGUAAAAAUUUAAUAAUAAGUUUAACUGUUUAAGUUUAUAUGAUUGUAUUAUCUACAUAUUUGAUUUUGUAAUAAUUAAAAAUGUAAUAAAAUAAAAUAAAAAACAAAAAGAAAAUAAUUAUUUUUAACUGUUAGCGGAAAAAGAUAACAAAUAUAGGUAACAAGCUGCUAACCAAAAUAAUGACCCGUACGGUAACAAAUACAUCUGUUCUGAAUAACAUAGGGAUAACAUAUAUGCUAACAUUUGCUUCAGCAGAGGUAACAUAUAUAUAACAUGCCAAAUAUGAAAAUAUAUGAGGCCAUUAACAGACUGUUAGUUGUCAAAACUUGACCAAUAGGAGACAAGUAUAAGUGUUAUCGUAGAACGAGACCACUUAUGCAAAAUGUAAUUGGAUAGAGUGAGAAAACCGUUGAACGAGUAGGGGCAUAGUGUUACUUCUUUCCCACGCUUCGAACAAAAGUAACACACAAAUUAAUUUUUGCUAAUGUUUAGAGUAACAUAGCUGUAACAUGUUAGCUGAAAAUUACCCGUCUUGCAGGGAAUGAACAGAGUUCAAAAAGCGUUUUAACUAUUUCGAAUAAAAAUUGGGUGGGGCGAAGUUCGCCGGGUCAGCUAGUCUUAAUAUAUAAAAAUCACGUGUCACGUUGUUUGUUUUCGAUGGACUCCUAAACUACUGAACCGAUUUUAAUGAAAUUUUUAACACUGUGUGCAGUUUGGUCCAACUUGAAAGAUAGGAUAGUUUAUAACUCUCCUUAUAGUCGCAUUAUUUAUUUAUUGCAAAUUAUUUGUUUAUUAUUAGCAAAGAGCUAUCCACCAGUUGGU